AUGCCAUCAGCACCUGGGGCUUUGGGGUGCCCCACUUCCCCCAUCUGGAAAAGGUGGGGAGGCCUCCAAGCCCAGUGGCCAGGGAGAAGCAUCUCUGGUCAAGUGAAGGAAGGACAUCUUUCCUGUUUGCAGGGUGAUUCGCCUCAAGAUUCAGAACCAGAGAUGCUCCCUCCACACCAAGCGGGCUCACCUGCCCUGAGGUUCCUGCCCCGCUCCACAGGGGCCCCCACUGACCUCUCUGCCCUGGGAAGGCCCGCAGGGGCACUGACACCUUCCUUGGACCCUCCCUGCCAUGUCUCAUUUCCUUGGAGCUUCCUGCUUCCACUGGACAGGACUCGUGGUCCGGGUCCCCCACUCUCUUGGCUGGAGGUUCCUCAGGCUUUGUCUUGACCAUGUGGACAACCCUCUAUCCCCUGCUGCGUCUGGAGGCAUGCCCUCCUUGUUAGGCCAGUGAGGUCACGACUCUUCUGCUCCCCAAAACACAACACUGAGUCUCUUGGCAAGUGUUUUUUUUUACUCAUCCA
rnacentral:lncRNA from 12 species